AUUACCAUAUAUGGGCAUUUUUUUACCAAAAAAAGUGAAGCUCGUUUUUUUGAAUUUGUAGCUGUUACAAUGAAUUAAAACUAAUUUGCUUUUAAGUGAACAUUCUUGAGUAUAUAAGGAAUAUUUUCAUCAUCUCAAUUAUGGAUUUAAAUCAUUUUUUUCUUUCAAAAUAUGUGUUCAAAGUGUAGGUGUUGACCAAAAAAUGUGGUCAAAAAAAAUUUAAAUCGUAAUUUUCUUUCUUAACUUCUCGGGAAGCUAUGCUGAAUUUAAAUUAUGUUAUGUAACAUAACUUGGACUAUGAUAUGUCAAAUUUGUGCCAGUUGAUAUGCACAGAUACGCAAAUGUGCCAGUUGGAUCUGAGCAUUUUUUUACCAAAAUUCGCCGGUGCGAUGCCGAAGAAGUAAUACGAAGUUAUCUGCCCCUUGUAGAAAGAUGGUGCAAGUGCUUGAUGAAAAAUUGGCACACGGAAUGUAAAUCCAGCCUAAUCAUAGCGAAAUACCAAAAUGUCAACGUUUCAAAGUAAUGCAGGAUUGUGAAAGCAUAUAUACAUAUAGAAGAAUAAAAUUCAAAUAAAAUGGUUGUAAAAGAUGGAACAGAAAUUUAUACAAAUAAAAAAAUAAACAUCAACACAGAAACCAUUAAAAUAUAAACUGAAAUAAAGAGUUUCUUGGAAUGAUGCCUGUAAGUGGUCUAGACUUUGGAUUUCUGGAACUGGAUAUAUAUAUAUAUUCCUGAAAUAUAAAGAGGAUUCUAUCAAAAGUGGAUCUUCAAAAAAUUAAAUGAAGGAAUGUGGAUGGUGUUUGUAAUGGUAACAGAAAUCAGAUUUAGACUGACAGCAGUCAGUGUUGCCCAUGGCAUGAUUAUAACUGACCAUUAAAACUUCAGGUACAAAUGUAACUUUUUAUACGACUGACUGCAAAAAUUGAUAAUUUUUUGGUCGUACAUUGGUAUCACGUUGUCGUCCGAAGACUUGGUUUUCGCACUCUAACUUUAGUAAAGUAAAUAGAAAUCUAUGAAAUUUUAACACAAGGUUUAUAACCACUAAAGGAAGGUUGAUAUUGAUUUUGGGAGUUUGGGUCCCCACAGUGUAGAAAAAAAGGGGCCCAAAGGUUCCAAAAUUAAACUUUGUUUGAUUUCAUCACAAUUGAAUAAUUGGGGUUCUUUUAUAUGCCGAAUCUGGUUAGUGUUUACAGGGGUCAACGUUCACUGAUCAUAACUUAAAUUUACUUUAAAAAAUGUUGUCAAAUGGGUAGUUCUGGUCGUUUGUUUUAAUAAUGAAAUAUUUUCUGGUAUUAAAACUCGUAUAUUUAUGCAGUUCUUAUUCCCCUAACCAUAGUGGCAAGUGAGCAUUUCAAUCGUACAUUGACAAACAAAACUUUGUCACAAUCAUAAUUGCCUUCUUUAUUUUGUUAUAUAUGUAUAUACACUUCCAUUCAUGUGCCUGAUACCACAUCUUGUCAUAAAACAAGGCAGAUAUGGUUCAAAAUAGAACAAAGUGACAAAAUGCAAGUUUAUGUAUACAUUUUAUUAUAAUUUCUUAUUUCUAUGUUUUAUAAACUUGCCUCGAGUAAAUAUCACACAUCCAUGUAACGCACAUUAUUCUGUUCAAUUUAAUUUAUUAACAGUUCUUGGAGUGGAGGUUCUGAAAAUGAUU